rnacentral:lncRNA from 1 species
GAGGCCGAGUACUGGUUAGCUGAGACAGAUAAGGCCUUCACGACUCUUAGGGUGAUUCUUGAAUAGAGAGUCAUACUUGUCACCUAUAUGCUGGUGGGAGAGGCAGGCCACCUUUCCCAUUCCAGUCACUUGGGAAUAAUUCUUGAUAGCCUUUAAUGCAGAGUACCUCCCAGAGCAUCUCUGAUAUCUGAAAGAAAUGGAGUUUGCACACCUGGUCCAGGGUGACAUGACUGUAUCAGAAUAUGCCCGAAAGUUCCUAGAGUUGGGUCUGUAUUCCCCUGAGAGAAUGAUGGAUGAAGGUAGAAAGGCAAGAAGUU